GCCUGGGUAGCUUAGUCGGUUAAGUGUCUGACUUCAGUUCAGGUCAUGAUCUCAUUUUGUGGGUUCAAAUCCCACAUUGGGCU
rnacentral:tRNA from 1 species